UCGCAGUCUGCAACUCGACUGCGUGAAGGUGGAGUCGCUAGUAAUCGCGGAUCAGCAACGCCGCGGUGAAUCGCGUUCCCGGGCCUUGUACACACCGCCCGUCAAGUCAUGAAAGUGGGCAGCACCCGAAGACGGUGGCCUAACCCUUGUGGGGGGAGCCGUCUAAGGUGAGGCUCGUGAUUGGGACUAAGUCGUAACAAGGUAAC
rnacentral:rRNA from 1 species